AGUGAACGCUGGCGGUAGGCCUAACACAUGCAAGUCGAACGGCAGCACAGUAAGAGCUUGCUCUUACGGGUGGCGAGUGGCGGACGGGUGAGGAAUACAUCGGAAUCUACUUUUUCGUGGGGGAUAACGUAGGGAAACUUACGCUAAUACCGCAUACGACCUACGGGUGAAAGCAGGGGAUCUUCGGACCUUGCGCGAUUGAAUGAGCCGAUGUCGGAUUAGCUAGUUGGCGGGGUAAAGGCCCACCAAGGCGACGAUCCGUAGCUGGGCUGAGAGGAUGGAGCGGCAGACUGGAAAUGAGAAGCGGGCCCGGGUCCUAGGGGGGGCAGGGGGGGGGAAGGUUGGAAAAAGGGGGGAAGCCUGAACCAGCCAUGGCGGGGGGGGGAAGAAGGCCCUCGGGUGUGAAAGCCCUUUUGGUGGGAAAGAAAAGGAGCAGGUUAAAACCCCGGUGGUUUGGGGGUACCCAAAGAAAAAGAACCGGGUAACUUCGG
rnacentral:rRNA from 1 species